rnacentral:rRNA from 1 species
UACGUAGGGUGCGAGCGUUGUCCGGAAUUAUUGGGCGUAAAGGGCUCGUAGGCGGUUUGUCGCGUCGGGAGUGAAAACCAGGUGCUUAACACCUGGCUUGCUUUCGAUACGGGCAGACUAGAGGUAUGCAGGGGGAGAACGGAAUUCCUGGUGUAGCGGUGGAAUGCGCAGAUAUCAGGAGGAACACCAAUUGCGAAGGCAGCUCGCUGGGACGUUACUGACGCUGAGGAGCGAAAGCCAGGGGAGCAAACGGG